GACGAACGCUGGCGGCGUGCUUAACACAUGCAAGUCGAACGGAAAGGCCCUGCUUUUGUGGGGUGCUCGAGUGGCGAACGGGUGAGUAACACGUGAGUAACCUGCCCUUGACUUUGGGAUAACUUCAGGAAACUGGGGCUAAUACCGGAUAGGAGCUCCUGCUGCAUGGUGGGGGUUGGAAAGUUUCGGCGGUUGGGGAUGGACUCGCGGCUUAUCAGCUUGUUGGUGGGGUAGUGGCUUACCAAGGCUUUGACGGGUAGCCGGCCUGAGAGGGUGACCGGCCACAUUGGGACUGAGAUACGGCCCAGACUCCUACGGGAGGCAGCAGUGGGGAAUAUUGCACAAUGGGCGGAAGCCUGAUGCAGCAACGCCGCAUGCGGGAUGACGGCCUUCGGGUUGUAAACCGCUUUCGCCUGUGACGAAGCGUGAGUGACGGUAAUGGGUAAAGAAGCACCGGCUAACUACGUG
rnacentral:rRNA from 1 species